UGCAAAAGAACACAGAAGGUUGGCUAAUUCCCUUUUAGGGCUGGAUUUAAAUGCACACUAGUUUGUUCAUGACGAAGCAGUCCGUUAUCAGAAAUGCAGAAAUGACCGGUGUUGUAAUUUUAAAGAAAAUGGUUCAUGUUGUUAUUUUGAUCCACUUGUAUUUGUGGCAUCUAGUCGGUGUGUUUGCUGAUACAGUUACAGUGGAGUCAGUGACAGAGGGAGAUUCAGUCACUCUAGACUCUGGUCUUACUGAAAUGAUGGACGAUGACAUGAUUCUGUGGAGGUUUGGAUAUAACAAGAUUUAAUAGCUAAAAUCAAUGUAAUGGCCAGCAGCGUCACUGUAUAUGAUGAUGUUCUUGGUGGGAGAUUCAGAGACAGACUGAAGCUGGAUCAUCAAACUGGAUCUCUGAUCAUCACAAACACCAGAACUGAACACACUGGACUCUAUACACUACAGACCAACACUGUGAGAAAGAGAUUCACUCUCACUGUCUAUGCUCGUCUGCCUGUUCCAGUCAUCAGUAACUCUUCAAGCUGUUCAUCAUCAUCA